rnacentral:sRNA from 1 species
AAGAGAGAGAGAGAGAAAGC